rnacentral:tRNA from 1 species
AAAUCCGCCGAAUUUUGAAAUCGUGGAGGGUCAAGUCCUCUAUCCCA